rnacentral:rRNA from 1 species
AACGAACGCUGGCGGCAUGCCUAACACAUGCAAGUCGAACGAGACCUUCGGGUCUAGUGGCGCACGGGUGCGUAACGCGUGGGAAUCUGCCCUUGGGUUCGGAAUAACAGUUAGAAAUGACUGCUAAUACCGGAUGAUGACUUCGGUCCAAAGAUUUAUCGCCCAAGGAUGAGCCCGCGUAGGAUUAGCUAGUUGGUAGGGUAAAGGCCUACCAAGGCGACGAUCCUUAGCUGGUCUGAGAGGAUGAUCAGCCACACUGGGACUGAGACACGGACCAGACUCCUACGGGAGGCAGCAGUGGGGAAUAUUGGACAAUGGGCGAAAGCCUGAUCCAGCAAUGCCGCGUGAGUGAUGAAGGCCCUAGGGUUGUAAAGCUCUUUUACCCGGGAUGAUAAUGACAGUACCGGGAGAAUAAGCCCCGGCUAACUCCGUGCCAGCCGCCGCAGUAACAC